CUUCUAAGCCCUCUACUCCCAGUAUUUCCUUCUUCUUGGAACAGCCUUAUAAGCCCGAGGGUACUACUACUGCUUGCUUCUUCCGAAAAGGGAACUUGAAGCACAACAAGGGUAAACAACUUCUCUCAAGUCACACUCUGCCAGUAAGUAGGCUGCCCCAAAUUGGAGACAAGCCUGCUUUCUGAGAAGGAAAUUAAGAAAACGAAAACGAAAACCAAAACACCGCCACACACUUUAGUGGAUGUGAGCCGCUACCUUGGUAAGGAGAAGCCCUCAUCUGUCAUUAGCUGUGUGCCAUUAAACAAGUUACCCAGAGCUCUGUGGCUUAGUUGCCUCAUGUCUGAAAUGCUUCCCCAGGUUGCAGACUGUGGACAGGGUACUCUGGAAAACUGACUCUUGGUUUGAUGAAUCAGCUCGUCUCCUAGCAUCUGUGACAGUGUAACAUCAAAGAGAAUGUACUACGAAGCUAGAAAUGCUAAUUUCCUCUCUUCCAUCAUUAGUUUGUGCAAUA